ACUGCCAGAUCAAGAGAAAACAACCUACUUCCUUCCUUUACACAGUCAAUUAUCAAAGUCUGGCCACGAACCUUUCACGUUGACCCAGUGUCCAUAGUGCUGCUCUUAAAUUUCCUUUUAUUACCACUUUGUAUCUGGAUAAAAAAUAACUCUAUCUCCAUUUUGUCUAGCUUUAAUAGAAAACAAACACAUCGUUCUCAGUUUUCCAGGAUGCUGACAACCCAUGCUAUUCAAUAAACAAUUUUUGCAAGCUUAUGGAAAAUCUGAUGCUGCAUCAUUUCCUUAGAAUGCUCUGUAGUCAACAGCGGUAAGUUAAAAAUACAUAAUAGCAAAUAAAAAUGGAAAUCACAGAUUCUCUCUGUCCUGAAAUCAAUGUCAUUACAGAAAUUUUUAAGGAGCUAUUGGACUGAUACUCCUCAGACAAGAAGAAAUCAUUUUGGGAUUUCUAGUUCAUGUUAUCUCAAGACUAUAUUCAGGGCAAACUAAACUGCUCACUGAAUCAGAUCUUAGGAACAGUUUGGCAGGUUUGAAGAUGAGCAGAGAAAAUGGAGUAAGUUUAUCUGAAGCCUCAAAACUCAGCCAAAGAGCAUUAGCAGCAACAUUUUAUUAAAGUGGAAGGCAUUGUAAAUCUGAUAAAGAAAGAAAUUACAAGCUCCAAACUUGGAAUACCUGGGAGGAUAUAAACUGCUGCCUUCUGAAGCACUUCUGUGGGUUAAGGCCUGCCCUAUUGCCACCAGUCUUAAUGAAAAUGGAAUCAUGCCAGAAUUGGAACUGUGGCCUCCAGGAAAUAAAACAAGAAGUAAGUGUUAGUAAAUCAGGAGCACUAACAGGUCAAUCAGGAUGGUUCUUGCUAAGUGAUUACAUGAAUGACAUAAAGAUAGCACUUAUCUAAUGAAUCAAAUGGGCCCAAAGAAGCUGUAGCACAAGAGGUCAAGAACUGGAGUCUUUAUAUUAUGUACAACACUUUGGUCUCUCUCACUAACAACCUUUUUUUUUCUCAGAGUUGUCUGUUUAAAGACAUCUCUCCUUGUUAUUAGCAUGUGGGUAUCACAUACUACACUGCUACAAUAAUUAAUACUUUAGAUUUUCUCUUUAAAUUAAAUCUGUAUCAGACGCUGCUGAAAGUAUGCUGAUAAUCUUGUUGCUGAGUUUAAAUAAGGUGGUAUUUGUGCUCACUUAAAAUCCUUAAAAAUAGUAAACCUUUCUACUGAAAUUUGAAAACAGUCUGAAAUAGGUUAUCUUGUUGAGAUUAAGACACCCAGUACAAAAAUCCAAACCCACGUGGCUUAGGUUUGGCAGAAUCGCGAGUUGAAAAGGCAGAUGUGUAAUGAAAGUGUCAGGCAAUAUUAUUUUAGAUGACACAAAAUACAAAUUUUCCAAUCUCUCCUUUACUGACAGCAGUAGCUCAUUCCUCUGCAUGCACCACAUACAUGAUUGCAUUAGAAGGAACAACCAUUUUUGGAAACAACUAUUUUAGGCACCAUCAGGCUGCUACAGGCAGGUUGCACAUUUUGGAGGGGAUGGGGUUAUAUUUUUUCUAAUCUGAACUCUAGCCUUUUGGCAGUUUUUAUCUUUAUUGGCAUUUAAAUUCCUCAUUAUUCUAGUCAGGUUAAUGUUUGGUGUGUGAGUCAGGAUUGUAUCCAAGGCUGGGAUGUUUCCAAGAGAGUUUAGAGACACACUGGGCAGCUCAGACUAAAGGAGACAAAGUGCAUUCCACACCACUGCUGCGCCUGAGCCACCACAGAGUGAAAUGCUGUCCUAACAAGGGAGGCUUUAAUUAAGAUUUACAGCGGGGUUUGUCUCACAGCUCUGCCACCUACACGUUAAUAACACCUUUCCUUUAAACCCACCAUGUUCCAUCAAUCUUCACUGGCUGCCAAGUUAAGGCUGCAACGAGUUUUGCUUCAGUUCACUGCACUGCAAGUAUUAACUCCUGGCAAACAGCAGCACAGAACAUUAAUUCCACAUGAAAUAAACACUUCACAAUACUGUGGAGCUGACCUGAAGAGGUGAGUGCCUCUGUUUCUCCUAAAAGAAAGGACUUUAUGAGAACAACACAGUGCUUAAGGUUACAGGGUAGCUCAGGUAGGGAAUUGGCAAACCACCAGCAGCAGCUCAGCCAGCCAAGCCCCGAGGCCCUGGGGAGCUGAGCCCCAGGUAAAUUGCAGAGAUCCCACAAGGUGCCACAGAACCCUGUGAGGAGAACCUGCAGUGCCUGAAGCCUGGAGAAAGAAUUUGUGUCCUGGGUACAUCAGUCAGGGCAAAGAAACCCUGGACCCCAGGACUGAGCUGCCUACUGCAGCAAGUAGCAGCACACGUUAUAUUUAUUGCAUAUAAAUAUUACAUGUAAUACAUGUACAUUACAUUAUAUUUAUUACAUCUAUUAUUAUAUUAAUAAUAAAUUACAUUUAUUAUUUAUUUCUAGGUAUGGCUCUACCUGAUAGCAGUCCAGAGCUGAAUAGGAAUUUUCACACAUAUGGGAAGUGCCACAUAUGACUAUCGUUUGCAGACCUCUAGUCUGGAGAGAAAAAGAAAGUGAACUGGUAUUUUAUUGUUAAAACAGCAUUUAGAAUUCAUUUGGUACACUAAGGACAAACAAUUGGUGCUUGCGAUUGGUAUCCCAAACUGCUUUCAUCUUCUUCUCUGAAAUAAUGAUACUGUACUUUUUUUUAAACCUUAACAUGCUAUAUCCUACUUCCAAAAAACCUUUUUAUUGCCAAACAUAUUCAAAACCUGCCAAUAAUUUUAGAGCCAAAAGAAUCUAAGCUGAAAACUCAGAGAAGUAAGGUUGAGUGGAUUGCCUCUCCUGAGAGACAAAUAUUUGGGUAAUAAAAAAAGUCCUUUUUAGUGCUUUGCAUUGAGAACUUUCAACAGAUUUUGAAGUAGCUUUGCACCUACAGGAAAUGUGUCCUGCAACACCCUAUUAGCAGCUCCUCUAUUACACACUUGCAGAAACACCUAUAUCCAGCCUUACAGAAAUGCUGGCUGUGUUCCUAACAGGAAGGCAAUUGUGGAAUGGCCAUUCCCACUGCACUGAAAAUGUUCUGUACAACUUUAUUCUGGGUUUUGAAGGAAGCUAGGAUGCACUCUUCUCAUCUGCAGCCAACUCAUCAUUUCCCUGCCUCACCCUCUCCCCUCCCCUUCCCCUGUCUGUGGUCUAUAACGUAUCUGGUAGCUGGAGGAGACAGCAAACUCAGGUUUGUGCCCUUCCUCCAGAGUAAAGAAAAUGCCAGGCCUGGGAGGAAAGAGCCAAAUGCCCAGCCCAGGUGUGUUGCUCCAGGUGAGCUGCAGCAGGUGCUACUGCAGAGCCAGGCAGGCAGAGGUGAGCAAGGGACACUGAGGAACAAUGCCCACAAGGAACAGAGUUACCUCUCUUUACCACUCUGCAAUAAAACACUGCAUUGGGGUUUUUUACCUGGAAAAUAUCUUUCAGUAAACAAGCACAGGAAUAGCUGUUGAGUUACACAAAACACCUGAAACAGAGAUUGUGUUCUCAUGUAACCCCACGCCAUGGUUCCAGGGUUUUGUAUGCAGCCCCUGGUGAAACAGUGGUCAGUACAGGGCACACAGGAAACCACAGGAAAGGCAAACCAAUACAUAUCAUAUUCCCUCUGUAUACCCAUUUAAUUUCCACAAUGGAUCAUGGUUUGUACUCAGAACUCAUACUCGUAAACUUGCCUCUAACAGCUUGUGAGACGUAUUUCUUAUUUCAAAUUUAAUUGCUUUUUUUCAUUUCUUCUUUCCUUCUGUAAGGUCAGUCUUGGCUUAUACCCUGUGCUUUUUCUCUCCCCCUUAGCUUUUCUAUUACUACAACUUCCCAGGAAAAGCUAACAGCAAAAUAAUUUCUUCUUUUCUCUGCUGUUAUUUUCUUGACUAACAAGCUCUACUCCUUCAUCUUUCCCUUACCUUGCUGACCAUCUCUAAUUGCCCUGUAAUGGUCUUAUCUCUCUCUCGACAGGGCUUCAUUGAGUUUUUCAAUAUACAGCACAUAAUAUGUGCUGUAUACCCCCCACCAUCUACAUUCUGUAUUACGGUCACUUUCCUCUAUGUCUCUUCUUUUCCUCUACAUCUCUUACACCUCAGCCAUCUAAAAAUCCUGAACUACACUCAAAAUUCAUACAUUUUACUGAAAUUGUUCCUUUUAGGCAGGGUUAUCCUGAUUCUGCAUCCUCAGAUUCUGUACUCAAACAUUUUAAGUGUUAUUCAUUACAUUGUAUAAUCAUCCCUGUAAUGAAUUAAAAGUGAAAAGCAAGACAUAAAGAAAGCUGAAAGUCUAAACUCAUCCAUAGCAGUUGACAAUAUUGUGCCCCUUUUCUUGCUUCAGGCCUUUCUCUUCUCACUUUUCAUCAGACUUGUAGGGUAUUUUUAAAAUUUAAUUAUCUGUCUUUUCUCCCUCAGAGUGAAAAUCAUAAGAAUUGUAGUAACUGUUCUGUCUCUCUCACUUUGGUUUGUUUAUGUCCUUCAGACUGUAAACACUCCAGGCCAGUGCAAUCCUUGCCCUGUUGUGGGAUAGAGGACACAGGCCUCCUAGUCUCCAGGUGAACACUUGUAUCAAAAGGAUAAUUUUCUUUAACUGGAUACUAAUGAAUAUAAAGAUCCUCCGUGUUAUUCGUCUCCUUUCUACAACAAAAUGUGGGGGAUGCAAUUUUUAGAGAUGGAACUUCAGUCUGGGAGUGAGGUAGGAGAAAUUCCCUCAAGAGUCGUUCCCUGUGCUCUGGUGCUUCCCAAAGCUCACAUUCCCCAUGUUUCUGUUAGAUGCUGUUUGGAAUUGCAGCAAUUUUAGCUGGCAAAAUGAUUGAGAGAAGUGUCACCUUGCCUGUCUCGGGGCCUGCAGCACUGGCCAGGCCCACGUGUUUGCGUUCGAGAGAGACGGGCCCGCUGGGCUCCCCGGCAGUCGGCCCCGAGCGCUGUCACCGGGCUCGGGUCCCGCGGCAGUGCCACCGCGGCACAGCGGGAGCGGCACUGCGGAGAGCCUCACACCGCCCCGCCGAGCGCCCCACAGGGCACUGAGGGGACACGGGCUGGGCACGGCAGUACGGAACGGCACGUUCGGCUGCUCGGGAGUGUCCGAAGCAGUCCCGAUGGAGGCGGGAUGGAUGCCGUGAGAGUGCCUCAGGACACUUGCUCUGCUCGGCCUGCAGGAGACUCACAGCAAUCUCCAGCAUCCUCCGGGGGGGGAAGCGAGGGGCCAGCAGCGAUCUCUGCUCUGUAGUGACAGCGACAGCACCUGAGGGGACGGCAGAGAGCCGGGUCAGGAGAGGCUGAGGCUGGAAAUCAGGAAAAAGUCGUUCUCACGGAGGCUGGACACCCAACAGGCUCCGCAGGGCGGGGGGCACAGCACCAAGUCUGGCAGGGUUCAGAAGGUGCCGGUAAACGCUCUCAGACACACGGGGUGCCGCUCGGGGUGCGGAGUGAGGGCCCGAGCUGGGUUCCUCGGUCCCGGAGGUGCCGUCCCGCGCUCUGUCCCCGCGGCCCCGAGCGGCCCGGAGCCGGCCCCACAACCCCCAGCCGGCCCC
rnacentral:lncRNA from 1 species